GGCAAUCCUUAAACUUGUCACGUUGUGCCACUUAGGUCCACAAACUCAAAAUUGAAAUAUACCACCCUUAACUUCUUAAGUGAUUCAUCAGAGGUCCAUACCGCUUCGUCACCCACGUUCUCGCUAAUGUGGCACGAGAUGGUGGCAGGCAAUUUUGCACUGUCCCCCUCACCUUCUAUCUCCUCCCCUGAAUCAAUCCCAUCUUCUCCCAUCGCUCCCUUCUCUCUCUCUCUCUCUCUCUCUCUCUCUCUCUCUCUCCCCCUCGUCCAUACUGUACUACCGACCUACUAGAGGGGAGGGAGCAGGCGCAUGGGCAUUGAGUGUCAAUGGGCGGUAGAGGAGCUUGUUGGAACUGUGCGGUGAAGCGAUGGCGGGCUGCCAGAGCCUUGAGCUACGGGCUGCGGCGGAACGGAGGGGCGGCCGUGUAGAUCCGAAGCAUGCGGUGAUGGGUCUAGCAAGUUGCGCGUAGCUCGUGAGAGGAGCGGUGUGGACUGUGGCGCUCCUGCGGCGGAUCAACAUGCCACACGCUCUCAGCGAUAGCAGGAGGUGGCCUAACUUGAUCAGGAUCAAACACACACAUCGUAAGACAAACCAAUUCUCAAGCUAUUGCUACUCUGCUCUUCUACGAGAACAGGACUUCACCUCGAGCUAAAGUUAGCGUGCCUUGAUCCAUUUCGCUCAAAUCUCCUCCGUGUAUAGCUCUAGCACAUUCCAAUUGAUAACCCAACGCGACAAAUUGGAACCAAAUUCACGCGACAAAUUCGCCAAUCUGGUCGGAACACUACCACCGCCGCUUUUUGUGCCCUGCCAUGGCCGCUACCGCAGAGCUCAGGCUAGAGCAAGCUCAGGCUAGAGCAUGAGGGCCUGGGUUUAGGGAAGCACUACAUCGAGUAUGGUCAUGCGCAGCUCACACACUUCCCAAAACACGAGCCGCCGCUGUUGUUUUUGCACUCGCCGCCAUGCCGUAGAGCUGCUCCACCGUCGCGCAUCUGUCUAACAGUUGGCGAGACCCUAGACCUGGACGACAACACCAUAGAAAGGUGCAUGAGAUCACAAGGAAGCUCCUCAUCGUCGGCGGUUCCUGCGACACCGCCACCACCACCGCCAAGUCCAGCGCUGUACGCCGUGGACGACCGGCGCUCCUCUUCAGCUGCGCGAGGAUGAAGCCGGCCACCUCCAUGUGCUCCCUUCCUCUCACCAAUUCGUGCUGCGAGUGGUCGACGAGGCACGGUGGGUGCUGCUCUAGAGAAGAGUUGCAGCUGCAAUGGCGGAGAGGAGCUUCGACGGCGGCGAUGGAGAAAGAAGACACGGGCAAGAGACUGUGAUUCCGUGAAGGACAUAAAUGGGAGGGAAUGGGACUACAGGAGGGGUAUAGUGCAAACAUGUCUACCAUGCUGGACUGCCACAUCAGCAAGGGAGAGCUGAGUAGCUGACAAAGCAGCAUGGACCUCCAGUGGACCACUUGACAAGUUUAGGGUGUUUGAUUUCGAUUUUGAGAGUCCGUGGACCUAAGUGGUACAUCGUGACAAGUUUGAGGACCGCUGAUGUGUUUAACUCUUUUUUUUUAUUUGACCAAAGGGGAAAACUCAUCACAAUUUCAUUACUUGUUCAUGCACAUUACAAUUGCCCAAUCAGGAUUCACCUGUUUGCUGAUUCACUGUAUAAACUCGUUCAUCAAACUUUGCAAAAGCAAAAGUUGCUUUCCUUGCUGUCCACACUGAGUGAUAGCAAUAGCAUCAUUCAUUUCUGUUAUCUCCUCCAGCAUCACGAGAUGCCACCCCCACACAUUGCCUUCAGUUCCUUCAGGGUAGGUCAUUUAUCAGUGGGGAGUUCUCGUCCCCUAUCUUAAUCACGGAGUGCUAUCUGAAUGUUCCAUUCAUUUCAUAUGCAUUGCAUCUGAAUUGUGAAUAACAUGGUAUCAUAGAAUUGCAACUCAGUUCAUUAGGCUUCCAAUGGUGUUUACCCUGGGAGCUCGAGGAUUGGGUAGGUCUUAAGGGCUGGGGAUGCAUUGGUUAAAGAGUACUUCUGGGAUUGCUGGAUUUGGUUGUGCACCUCAGAAAUUUAGUGAUGGCCAUUGUCACAAAAUUUGGGGCCCACCAUAUUCUUUAUACCCAACACAGCAAACCUGAACAAGUUACAUUUAGGGCCAACAUAGCUUACAUGUUUGAGUAUAUAUUCAAUUUUGCCACUGCCAUCUGUUAGGCUUUGAUUAAUGCACUGAAGAGCUCAGCUCAGAGGUAUGCUAGAAAACCUGUGGGUUCCAUUGAAUCUGGUCCCCCUUUUUUCAAUAAAGGUUUUCCCAUUCAAUCUAUUUUUUGAUGCCCCGUUACUGAUAUGUUCUCUAUUGUUGUUGGUACCAUCUAAUGUUUUGAAAUUUGUUUGAAAACAAUUUUCUUCUUUAUGUGCUUAUGGUGGAAUCAUGGUGUUUAUAAGUUGUUUUGUGUAGUUAUUUUAAUGUUGAAGCUUGAACUCUUUUACCCAAUUGAUCGUAAUACUAAUGCUGCUGGAAUUACACAAAGCUUCCGGAGAUUUCAGACCUGUCCCUUCGUUGUCCACGACUUCUGCUAACUGUUAGUACAAAGCCAUGUUCUAGAAAACUAAUCUGCUGGGUGAUAUUUCUUCUGUUGACAAGGAACAGGCUGCUCUAUCUGAAACUUGAGUUUAGUAAAUAAUUUUGGGUCACAAUUAACUUGUUUACUAUAUUGUUUACCAUUAAUACUGAUUGGAGUUGUUGCUGUGGGGCUGGCAACAUUUCCCUGCUGGGACUGAGGGUGUGAAGUGCUUACAGCAGAAGAGGUUUCUCUCGGUGGAAAGGAAAGAGUAAAGAUACUGUUGAUUGUAGGCAAUCUCAUGUGCAUUACUGUUUUAACAAUGUAAUUAAUAGUCAGUUUCGUGGAAACUAUACUUGUAAAGUAAUGAGAGAGUGGUUAGUCUAUGUUUUCCUGCUCCUUUAGUGCCCGGAGCUCCAAACAACACUGAAACUUACUUUCUGAAGGUGUGAAGGAUAUCUGAAAUCCUUGUGUUUGUAUAUUUUUCACCAUCCCUCGAAUACAUAAGUUUUUUAAUACAUGUAUAGAGUUUUUUCUCUGCCAUUGAAAUUUUGGUAGCAUCCUUGACACAAAUUUCACUAGCUUCUUUUUACAAGCUAAUAGAUAUUAUCCUAUUAGGAUGGAUCAAAUGCAUUUCUGUUUUAGAAACGGAGUAGGAUUAGUUCUGAAUGUAUGUGUGGGACAAGUGACAAAUUUGUCCUGUACCUCUUGCAUUUCUGCUUUAGAAAAGGAGUAGGAUUAGUUCUGAAUGUGUGGGGCAAGUGACCAAUUUGUCCUGUACCUUUUGCAUUUCUGUUUUAGGAAAGGAGUAGGAGCAGGCCUUUUCCGUCAUGCUUCCUUCAUUGCACCUUGAAGAAAAUUACUAAGAGUCAUGGAUCAGAACUACUCUGAUCUCAUCUGAUGGCAUGUUGUUAAGAUUUGAUAUUGAUGAGUUGAUAUGCCAGCAGAUAAAUCUAUUCUUUUUUCUAAUAAACAAUAGAUUUAUCUUAUUUUUUUCUAAUAAAUCUUAUUUUGCCUAUUCAUAUAUAGCCAUCUUCUAUGUGCUCUGCAGUCUUUUUGUUUAUCUGGCCACCACCCACCAUUAGAAUACAUUAUUUGAUUGAAGUGUGUAGAUUGAUUUGAAUUAGGCCGGCACAGGUUAUUCAGAGGAGGGGCAAAGGAGUUGGUAUUUGAAUUGGCUGGUCGACUUACAGUUGACGGUAAGCCUGCUUCAGCCUAAAUAAGAUGUGCUUGCAGCUUUCCACACUGAUAAUCGACUAAUUUCAGGUUUGAUUUUUUUAGUCUAUUCUCUUCUGGACUUAAUGAUUGCUUUUAUAUUUUACGCUAAUUCAAGCUGGGUUGUGCAAUUGAUUCAGAAGCAUAUAGAGAGUAUUAGUGAAGGGGUUAAUUAAUCUGAAAUGUUGUAACCUAAUCUAAUAGGUUUUGAUUUUUGUCAAUUUCUUGACCAUAGAGCGUGGCCCAUGAGUACUAAUCAGUGUAUUGCUCUACGAUUUUUAGCCCAGGUGCUCUUGAUUUUUACCUAUGGAUCUGAUCUUGAUCGGAACCUUUACUUUUCUAUUGUAACUGCUGCUUCUCCAUUCUUAUUUACUCUGGGAAAAUAACACUGUUGUUUUGUUUGUGUUCACAUGACAGCUAGGAAUUCUUGGCCUGUAGAGACACUUGGCUUAUGCACUUUCUAGCUACUAAAAUUUGCGGUAAAAUUUUUCUGUUCAUUCAUACGAGAUACUUGUUUUGAAAAUUUUUAAGCUUACUAUAUAAUUGAUCAAUUACCAGUUGUCUAUUCCAUAGCCUAGAAAAAAUAAUACUCCAUCAACCAAACUAUAUCAUUUCUCCCUAUGCAUUUUGCAAGAAUCUUAUAACCGUAGUUUUGCUGAGUAUUUGUUUCAUAGUUCUUCACCUUGAGAUAUUUGAUAUGAGAGGCACCACCGAUGUGGCACUAGAAAAGAGACAAGGUAAGUUUUGAAAACAGUUUUACCAUCUUUAUCAGACCAUCAAGCACAAGCACUGCUUCUAUCAAUCCAUCAUGUCUUCCUUUGGUAGAAUUACUUGCCCUCUAUAUUUAUUGGAUAUUCUGAACAAUUGCUUUAGUUAUUUUCAUAUGAAUCUUAUGAUCGGAAAGGAUGGGUGAAGAUUGACAAAGCAGCUUAUUAGGACCUGACAAAAGUGAAGAAGUCGAAGCUGGAUGAGCAGGGUCUGCUUCAGUUGCCUGAUCAGCUCUACCUAGAUCAUGUCCAGUAGAGCCCUUUCCUUUACUGAUUCGAAAAAUGAAGAUGGUCCUAUUAUUAGGAGAAAUUCUAUAUGUAUUAGAAGAGUAUUAAGAGAUCGGUCUAUCCAUAAACUGGACCAACUCUUCGACAGUACUAGGUAUGUAAAGAAAUGAUGGCUUUCUUAUCAAUUUCAAUAGUAACCUUUGGUGUUCUGAUUUUUUAGGUCGCGUUAGCUUUCUUACACAUAGAAGUGCUUUAUGCUAACAUUUUGUUGCAUUACUCUAUUUUGUGCAUGCCAACCAAUAAUUAGCUUGUUGACCUUUGCUUAGGUCAGGAUCAGCUAUUGAGGGAUGUGCAAACGAAACAGUCAAGUAUUUAUCGUUACUUGAAUGGCCUCCUUUUUAAACUGAAUUUUUUUUAUUGAGGGAUGUGCAAACGAAACAGUCAAGUAUUUAUCGUUACUUGAAUGGCCUCCUUUUUAAACUGAAUUUUUUUUAUAUGCAGCAGCUCAUGAUUGAUGGGGACCAUGGGAUAAAUCACUGCUACAUAAUCCAUUAAUGAAUUUAACUUCCUGCCACAUAAUUCUUCAUAAAGCAAGUAACAUCAAUAUGUUUUGGUUAUUCUAAGUUGUCAAGUACUCAUAUUUGCCGGAGAUUGCUUAUAUGCUCUUCUGGAUUUAUGCAUUGGCUUUGUAGUGUGUAUGUUGCAUAGAUGUCUAGAAAAAACAUUCCACGUUUUGCAAUGGAUAUUCAAUUGUCAAAACUCAAAAAGACAGACACUAUAAAUGUGCUCAAUUUUAUGCUGCUUUUUAUUGUUUUGCUAGCUGAUCAAGUUUUGUUCUUGAUGUUUUAACUUGAGAAAUACGUGUUAUGUUGUAAUACAUGUUAUUCCCUCUAUAAUGAUGAAAUGUACAAUAUUGAAAUUCUAUUUCUCAAUUUUGUAUGAUAUAGUGUAAUUUAAUUUUUAUUUUGCCCUAGCAAUGCAUGGGCAUGAUCCUAGUAUAACAAAAAAAAAAAUCUUUUACAGCCUUCUGGUAGAAGAAUUUUGAUAACAAAAUGGAAAAAAGAGCCUGUUGGUUACUCCAAAAGAGAACGAACUCUUGACUCCAGGUUAGGCAUCAAACGAAAAUACCACUAGGCUACCACACGCCGUUGGUAAUUUCUGCAAAUUAUAUAAUGAGUAAAAUGCAUGAGCGGUCUUUGAACUUGUGAGUGUAUCACAUAGGUCCUCAAACUUUUAAAAUACAUAAUAAGGUCCCCAAACUUACUAAUCCUCCCAUAUAGGUCCAAAUAUCGAAAACUUCUAUUAACUUGCCUACAAGGGCACGUUGUAUAUGGGGUCGCUUGUCAGAUCUAUCUGCAGCUCCUCUCUCUCAUCAGCUUUUUCCGCACGUCCACCGGUGGUUCGCUCCCCGACGCUAGGGAAGACCACCAGCGAGAGCUUGUCAAGGCCACACCCACAUGACUACCCGCAACAAGGCAUGGAUUGCCAUACCUCGCUCUCCUGCCACUCCUGCUGCCUCCUCCUCUCCCGCCCUUCCUUACCCUUCUCUCGAACACCUUCUCGGCGUCGACCUCCGUGGCUCCUUGUUGUGUGCCACCGCCACUGCUUCCACUAUGCCCAAGUUCUCCGAUGCUCGUGUGAAGCGGCUUGGCGUCAGACAAUGCGGUGGUGGUGUUCAGCGUCUGCAUCUAUUGCAUGUGCCGCUGUCCCUCUCGUCUUCAUUGGCGGC
rnacentral:lncRNA from 1 species